UGGAAGCGAAGGCGCCCGGUGGUGGCGGCGGCUGCUGCGCAUCACCGGCCACAUCAUCGCGGGGGCCGCCCGCCCUCCAGCCGCUUCCGCGCCUGCUCAGUGGCGGCGGCUCUCACCUAGCUCCGGAGCUGUCACUGCCGCCGGGCUGCUCCCUCCCCACCGGAGAGAUGGAGCGGGACCCGGGGCCGCCGCCAUCGCCCUCGCCCAGGAUAUUAGCCACAGAAAACAAUGGGAAGUCUGUAUCCUAGUGCCUGAGUUAAUAAGCAAUUCAUCCCUCCUUGGUGAUGACAGUGGAAACCCCUAAUCAGGAGUCCAAAAAGUACAGUUAGGACCCAUCCUGAUCCAGUCUUGCUUAUGGAAUUGCUGAAGAUCUGAGAUCAAUGAAAAAACAUCUUUGCAUGAAAAAAAGAAUCCUUUUGCUCUUUUUGUUUUAAAAUCACCAGACAUGGCACUUAGUGACUCACCUACAAGAUUUCUUCACUGACAUCUGAAGAACAAAGUGCUUUUCAACCUGUACUUCUGUAGCACUAUGACUAACUGUAAAGGCAGAUCUACCAUCUCCAAAACAAACCACAAAAUUCAUGACAGAGAACGUUUUGUAAACUGGACCAUAAACCUUAAUACAAUUCAGUCUGAUAAAUUUUUGAAGCUCCUUUUGAGUAUGGUUCCUGUUGUUUACCAAGUAAACCAGGAUGAAAGACACAAGAAAGUAAAUGGUGUCUGGCAAGAUGGAUUACAACCGGCAGGACACAAUUUUAAUGUUAGGUCUGAACAACACACAGAAUACCAUCACUUCUCCGACCCAAGUUUUCAUGGUAGCAAUGGACACAGCCCAUCUAGCUGUAGCCCUAAGUAUGAUGAUUUUACCAGUUACAAUUACUGUGAUGGAAUGGGUGCUUCGGAAACAGAUGCCAUGUUGCAGGAAGACAAGCUAUCUACUGACAGUAAUGAAGAUAUCAUCAUGGAAGGAAGUACAAAACAACCCAAAGAAUCUAGUAGUAUUAUGGCAUUACAGAUACUCGUACCUUUUUUGCUAGCAGGAUUUGGAACUGUUUCGGCUGGCAUGGUUUUAGAUAUUGUACAGCAUUGGGAUGUAUUCAAGAAUGUUACUGAAGUUUUUAUCUUGGUUCCUGCACUUCUUGGUCUCAAAGGAAAUUUGGAAAUGACAUUGGCAUCCCGACUGUCAACGGCUGUAAGUA